UAGAAGGUGGUGUAAAGGAAGCACGGGGAGUUUUGAUCUCCUAAGAAAGGGUUCGAACCCCUUUUUUCUAA
rnacentral:tRNA from 1 species